AAGUAUCUUAGAAUCUUGGGUCUAAAACUUAGUUUCCUCAGUUGAGGACUAACGGAAAAAGAUAAAGUUUAAUUUCCAUCUUUUAAGGCUUUCUAACGGAUGGCUGUCAAAACAGCAAAGAGUCGGAAAGGAUAUGUGAAAAUUAUACAUUGUUCCAUUUUUAUUAGUGCUCAAGGAAAAGAGGACCACAGACGAGUGUUUCCAAAGGAGAUCUUCAUACCUAUUUGGAUUCAUUUAAUAAAGAGCAGAUAGUUACUGAAUGAGGAAAAUCGAGUUUCUUCUCAAGCUGCCUGCAUUAUAUUCAACCCAUUGAAGUACAAAGUACUACAGCUGACGAGUCUGAGGUGCACCUCCUGCAACAGAGAGGCAGCAGCAAAACGGCCACGUCCAGGGGAGCAGAACCAGCACCCGGCAGUCUGGGGCAGUGUCUUCCUGUCCCAUUACUGUGAGUCUCAUGGAUGCUCUUGAAUUUCCAUUCAAUUCCCACCAGUGCUACCUCAUGUCUAAAGUGUUCCGGUGACCUAGCUAGCACAUCAUUCUUAUAGGAUAUUUUGGUUUUUUAUACUAUUACUCUCCAUUAAUGCCAGAUACUGACCAGGUCUUUUGCAAAUUUUUUUGCUUUUUUAAUUGUUUUUGAGUUACAAUAUAUGAGGAAAAUGCAAAAAA